CAUACUGACUUUAUUCGCUGGACUGUGGAAGGCUUGUAGACCACCAUGACUCCAGUAUGGAGCCAAGGCCAAGACUCCUUGUUAGUAGUACGGGCUGUCAUGAAUGUUGGUGUACACUGCGUACAGUGACAGAUUUGGUUUCUGAUGUCUAUUGGAUACACGGUGAUGUCAGCAUCCUUCUGGAAAACCAGAAAGGACUCUCCAGGUUUCUGGAGUCAGGUCAUGGAUGCUUGUUGAAUGGAUUUUGCAGUUUGGAAGUCGCAUACCUGAGCUGCUCUGCUGGGUUUCAGAAGAGAAGCGCCACCAGUGACCUUUCAUCUUUAAGUUUCUUUACCUUUCUGGGAUUCAGUUCUUGGAGAACAUCCUACCUCACAGGGUGUUUCUAAGGACAAAUGAGAUAACGUCUGUGAAGCCCCUGGAGAGGAAGCCUCGCCGGAGAUAAGCACAGGCUCCUGUAUUUUUAGCUGAGGAGUGCUGGUUGUCCAGGAUAUGCCAUUUAGCAAUUCCUGGAGCCCUGAAAAGGAAAGAGAAAGGGUGGCUGGGGGCAGGGCCCUGGUGCAUUCAACAAUAUUGUUUUUCGAGAAAUCCCUCCCACCCCGAGUGUAAGAAUACACGUCAAAGGAAGCAAACACCAUCUGUAGAUAAUACAGGAAGGUGACAGGUUUGCUUGCUUGCAACUGUUACCGCGUGAUGCUAAUAUCCUCUGUCCUAACUGCUGGUUCACUCUAAGGGGCAGAGGUCUAUGGGGCACCUACUGCACUGAUAAUGAAACUGGGCUUUAGUGACUCUCUGUUUCUGCACAGAAUGGCAGGAAACAUCUUCACCACCCACGACUCCUCCAGAAAGUAAGGAGUUUGGUGGAGGCGCGUUUCCUGGCCAGAUUCCAAAAAUGGUUCUCAGUCUUAGCGAAGGUAGGAGAACUGACCAUGCUGACCUCACACAAGCAAGGCUUCAGAACCACGAUAGGAGCCAGCCUGCCCUCCGAUCCAUAUCUGCCGCCUAAGCAGAAAACAUCCCCAAAGGAAUAACAGGAAAUUUGCUUUGAUAACUUCAUUGGAGAAAUGUCUUGCGUGAGUUCCCCCAAGUGCUUGCCAGAGUGUUGCCAUUCUGCCGUGUUUAUCUCUCAACCCUAUGGUGCAGGCCUAAGCGUCCUUCUCUGUGGGAAGUCAAUAAUGUUUACUUACCUCUCUUUGGGCUCAAAGAUGAAGAUUAGCAUUUGACAAAACCUUCAUCUGGUGAUGGAUGGAGAUAGAGACAGAGACCCACAUCG